CAAUAGCGUAUAUUUAAGUUGCUGCAGUUAAAAAGCUCGUAGUUGGAUUUCGGGUGGGAAUGGCCGGUCCGCCGUUUCGGUGUGCACUUGCUACGCCCACCUUGCUGCCGGGGACGUGCUCUUGAGUUCACGCUCGGGACACGGAGUCGGCGAGGUUACUUUGAGUAAAUUAGAGUGUUCAAAGCAGGCCUACGCUCUGAAUACAUUAGCAUGGAAUAAAACGAUAGGACUCUGGCCUAUCUUGUUGGUCUGUAGGACCGGAGUAAUGAUUAAGAGGGACAGUCGGGGGCAUUCGUAUUUCAUUGUCAGAGGUGAAAUUCUUGGAUUUAUGAAAGACGAACUACUGCGAAAGCAUUUGCCAAGGAUGUUUUCAUUAA
rnacentral:rRNA from 1 species